rnacentral:rRNA from 1 species
GACGUAGGGCGCGAGCGUUGUCCGGAUUUAUUGGGUUUAAAGGGUGCGUAGGCGGCCUUAUAAGUCAGUGGUGAAAGCCCACAGCUCAACUGUGGAACUGCCAUUGAUACUGUAAGGCUUGAGUACAGACGAGGUAGGCGGAAUUGAUGGUGUAGCGGUGAAAUGCAUAGAUACCAUCAAGAACACCGAUUGCGUAGGCAGCUUACUAGGCUGUAAUUGACGCUGAGGCACGAAAGCGUGGGGAGCGAACAGG